UACGGAGGGUGCAAGCGUUAAUCGGAAUUACUGGGCGUAAAGCGCGCGUAGGCGGAUAGUUAAGUCAGAGGUGAAAGCCCCGAGCUUAACUUAGGAACUGCAUUUGAUACUGGGUAUCUUGAGUAUGGAAGAGGUAGGUGGAAUUCCGAGUGUAGCGGUGAAAUGCGUAGAUAUCCGGAGGAACACCAGUGGCGAAGGCGGCCAACUGGUCCAAUACUGACGCUGAGGUGCGAAAGCGUGGGGAGCAAACAGG
rnacentral:rRNA from 1 species